AAGGUAGACCAGGUGGUCGCUGGUCCUCAUGGGUAGGAUCAGAGGAAAGUCCGAGCUCCAGAGGGCAGGAUGGUCGCUAACGGCGACUACCCCUCACAAGGGGUCAGGAAAGUGUCACAGAAAGCAGACCGUCUCUUGUCGAGGCCUCGCGCCUCGACAGGGAUAAGGGUGAAACGGUGAGGUAAGAGCUCACCAGUAUCGCGAGCGAUCGUGAUAGCUUGACAAACCCCAUCCGGAGCAAGACCGAAUAGGAGGGGAAAGGGGUGGCCCGCCCCAUACCCUCGGGUUGGUCGCUUGAGAUAGGCGGUAACGUUUAUCCUAGAUACAUGACCACCGCUCCCUGCGGGAGAACAGAACUCGGCUUAUGAUCUACCGGAAAU
rnacentral:RNase_P_RNA from 1 species